rnacentral:rRNA from 1 species
CUUACCUACGGGAGGCAGCAGUGGGGAAUAUUGCACAAUGGGGGGAACCCUGAUGCAGCGACGCCGCGUGGGUGAAGGAGCACCUCGGUGCGUAAAGCCCUAUCGGCAGGGAAGAAACAGACGGUACCUGACUAAGAAGCCCCGGCUAACUACGUGCCAGCAGCCGCGGUAAUACGUAGGGGGCAAGCGUUAUCCGGAUUCACUGGGUGUAAAGGGAGCGUAGAAGGCGAAGCAAGUCUGGAGUGAAAGCCCGGGGACCAA